AACGCUAUUUCCAAAUUCUAGAGGUGCGUAAACGGCGUUUACGUGCGUUUACCCUCCACCACAGCCCUGGUUCCUGUAUUCCAGUAAACUUAGGUACGGGUCCAUCUGCUGUGUGUGUGCUUUGUCCAUGAGGGCUUUGACGGUCUGAACAGUCUUUUCAGCCAAAUCAUUACUCUGUGGGUACUUGUGGUAUGCUCAAAUUCCCAAGCAUGAGAAAAACCUCUGACCUCUUGUGAACUGUAACGAUGUCCAUUGGCACUGAUUACUGUGUGGGGUAUUACAAAUCUGGCAAACAUGGAUUUCAGCUUUUUGACAGUUGGGGAUGUGAGGCUGGUACCUCAAAGUACCUGCUAUAAUAGUCAGUACUGUGCCAGGUGAACAAAUCUGUGGCUACUGUUUGCCAAUGUAGCCAGUGAGGAAAUGUCCCUCAUGUAAUACCAUAGGUUUAAGCCCCUCCCACUUCCUGGUUCACCAAUUAGUAUGGGUACAAAGGCUCCAUUUUUACGACACUACAGGAGCGCGCUGUCUUCCUGUGUUGGAGUCUGGUUUUGACAACCUGUUUUGAGCUGGUACGUAGUUUUUAUCCGUGUUACCUGAGGUUUUUCAGGUGGUGAAACCUCUGGAGCCAGGGGGUGCAGUGUACGUUGUUGCCCCACAAAAGACAGCCAACAGAGGUACGAUAUCUUAACUGUGCCAUGUUAAAACCUGUACCUGUUUUGAAUUGUGACCCUACCUCUAUAGAUGCUCCAUACCCCACUGCAACAAACCCUAACAUCGAGGAGCAUGACCUGUGGUCAAUGGUUGGGCCUGCAGCUAGCCCGAAGAACUCCCGGCAUAGUAGAGGACAGACCCCACCUCUGGGAGCCCAGCACCCCACAGGAUCAGGUGCAACUUUGCAGGAGCCACUCGCAGGCCUUAGUUCCUCUCCGACCACUGUUCCUGAGGGGGUAAAAAAGUCUACCCGUGAGACAGCUGGCCAACAUUCAAACCCGUAUCAUUUGCGAGGGAGUGCGUGGGGCUGGCAUCAGCGUGGCUACCUGGAUGGUGGUAGGGCUGGUUGGACUGGACCUCUCACUUUCUCUUUUUCUUGCCUGUUUUAGAUUUAACUUGUUUUGCGUGAGUGUGGAUGCGGCACAGGAGGGAGUGAGGGCCUUGUCCUAGAGCCUGUCCCCCCUCUUUUCCCCUUCUCAGCCCGCUGCAGCCUACGGCCCCAAUAGAAUCGCAUUUGUUUAUUAAAACCUUUCUUUUUUUUGUUCUUUGACAACAUUCCUAGAGCUGAUGGGAAUUAUUGAAAUAAUUUGUUUCGUACCUUUUUGAUAUUUUAAGAAACUAAAAUAAAUAUUGUACUCUGA